rnacentral:lncRNA from 1 species
UUCAAAUCCUGGUUCUGCUGGUUAGCUUGGGACCUGAUCGAGUUAUUCCAUCUCUCAAGGCCUCAGUUUCCUCUGUAAACAAGGACGAUAAUAAGAGUACUGGUUUCUUAGGGGUUGUUAAAAAACCAAAGUCAACUGAGCACAUUUGAAGAUCUCACGAGUCACGAAUCAGGUGGCAUCCUGUCUAGUGAGAAGAGGGGAACUUCGAGGAGGUGUACAAAAUGGACAGUUGGGGCAAGAAAAUUACUAGCAAAAAGAAAGAUAGGAUUCUUUCAGGCAAGGCCACUGGCCCUGAGGUGGAAACAGGGAAGGGGGUCUCAUUCGGUGGGUUACUUCAUGUGUGGGGGAUGGAGAGGGCCCAGGUGACAGGUUACCUCCUGUGUGCCGAUCACAGAACUCCCAGCUGACUGGUUGAGACUUACCUUUCUGGGGGAGGUUGAAGCUGCGACUGGGAUAGGCAUUAAGCCCCGGGUUGGAUGACUUGGCCUCAGUUAAUGCCAUUUUAAGCCUGUGGUUUUCUUUUUCUUUCUUUCUUUCUUUCUUUCUUUCUUUCUUUCUUUCUUUCUUUCUUUCUUUCUUUCUUUCUUUCUUUCUUUCUUCUUUCUCCUUCCUUCCUUCCUUCCUUCCUUCCUUCCUUCCUUGGUUUUAUUUUUAAGUAAUCUCUACACCCAAUGUAGGGGUUCGAACUUACAAGCCCGAGAUCAAGAGUCGGACGUCUUCUGACUGAGCCAGCCAGGCCCCCCCAAGCCUGUGGUUUUCUUCUUAACAGGGUGUUGUGCCAGUUGGAUGAGAGAAAGCACUGAUACUUGAUACUCAGAGUACGGUUUCUGGACUGGCAGCCCCGAUACCUCCUGGUGUGCUUAUUAGAAAUGCAGAAUCCCAGGCCCCAGAAUCCCAGGCCCCACCCCAGAAUGUUCCCGAGUCUGCAUUUCCACAUUUAGCACAACUCUUGGCACAGGGUAAGCGCUCACGAGUGGUAGCUGUCAUGAUCAUGAGUCUGAUAAGAAGCCCUCACAUGAAGGCAGAUUCUGGGGCUGGAGAGAAGCGGGGGGCUCACCGUCUGGCUCUGCAAGUGAGUCAUGUGUGCUCACUUCAGCUUUGCUCCCCGCCGCAUGGUCUCCGCCAGCAGAACUGGAGAUCACGACGCCACCUUCUGGAGCUGACUGGGGAGGCCAGGAAGAUGAAGCAGAAGGUGCUUCUGGGAGUCGAGGACGGUGGAGAUGGAUUUUUCUGGAGGUCUAAGAAGUACCAGUCCUCACCAGUGCCCCUUUAAAUCAGUUGCCCGCCCUGACUUAUUUGUGCUGCUUUAAUCACCAAGGAAACAGCGAAGGGACCCAGACAUUCCCGAGAAGCCCUUGAUAUAUAAUUACUGCACCUCACAGGCAACAAUCGCUCCCCCACCGCCCCCGUCCUGGUCCUGCAUGUUGGAAUGCGG